AAAUUGAAGAGUUUGAUCAUGGCUCAGAUUGAACGCUGGCGGCAGGCCUAACACAUGCAAGUCGAACGGUAACAGGAAGCAGCUUGCUGCUUUGCUGACGAGUGGCGGACGGGUGAGUAAUGUCUGGGAAACUGCCCGAUGGAGGGGGAUAACUACUGGAAACGGUGGCUAAUACCGCAUAACGUCGCAAGACCAAAGAGGGGGACCUUCGGGCCUCUUGCCAUCAGAUGUGCCCAGAUGGGAUUAGCUUGUUGGUGAGGUAACGGCUCACCAAGGCGACGAUCCCUAGCUGGUCUGAGAGGAUGACCAGCCACACUGGAACUGAGACACGGUCCAGACUCCUACGGGAGGCAGCAGUGGGGAAU
rnacentral:rRNA from 1 species